rnacentral:lncRNA from 1 species
CUACACCAACCAACGCUGGGACCAGCAUAGCUUCUUCCUCUACAUCUAUGCUGACCACCCCUGGGUCCAGCACAGCCUCUGUGUCUACAUCCACCCCAACCACCACUGGGUCCAUCACAGCCUCAAACUCUUCAUCCACCCCAACCACCUCUGGGUCCAGCACAGCCUCUGACUCUUCAUUGCCCCUGUCUACCGCUGUGACCAGCAUAGCUUCUUCCUCUCCAUCUACACCAACCAACACUGGGACCAGCAUAGCUUCUUCCUCUACAUCUAUGUCCACCACCACUGGGUCCAGCACAGCCUCAAACUCUUCAUCCAUCCCGACCACCACUGGGUCCAGCACAGCCUCUGACUCUUCAUCACCCCUGUCUACCACUCUGACCAGCCUAGCUUCUUCCUCUCCAUCUACACCAACCAACACUGUGACCAGCAUAGCUUCUUCCUCUCCAUCUACACCAGCCAACACUGUGACCAGCAUAGCUUCUUCCUCUCCAUCUACACCAACCAACACUGGGACCAGCAUAGCUUCUUCCUCUACAUCCUCCCCGAUAACCACUGUGUCCAGCACAGCCUCAAACUCUUCAUCUUCCCCGACCACCAAUAGGGCCAGCACAGCCUCUGUGUCUACAUCCACCCCGAUAACCACUGUGUCCAGCACAGCCUCAGACUCUUCAUCCACCUCAACCCCCACUAGAACCAGCAUAGCUUCCAGCUCUGGCUUGAGCACGGCCCACAGUAACCCUAUACUGACAGUUUCAACUGGAACACAUAUCACCUCCAGUCACACUGGGACUCCGGGGAUGGAGGUGAAGCCCAGUGGGUCUCUGAAGCCCUGGGAAAUCUUUCUCAUCACCCUGGCUUCUGUGGUCAUGGUCACAGGACUCUGUGCUGGGCUCUUCAUUUAUGUGAGAAGAUAUCUGUCUCUGAGAAAUGCUGUUGAUGGAAUAUUCUACAACCCCCACAACUCUCACCUUGGUCCUGGAGGAUCCCAUAUGACUCCGGGGAGCCCUACUUCUUCCUGGAGGAGACCAGUAGUAACCUCCGAGGUCAUAGCAAUGAAUGGGCUAUGACUAUUGCCGACGAAGCCCAGGAACUCGUCCUUCUGAGGAGACCCGAGCCACUGCUUCUUCUGCAUAACCCUUUCGGAGUCCCUUUCUAGCUUUGUUCCAGCCCCCGACAUCCUUGAGAAAGAUACGUUCUUCUCUUCUGUCUUUACUAGACCACAUGAAGAAGGAUAAUGCAUUGUUUGGUCAUUUCACAAAGAAAUAAAAACACCCAACAUGGC